rnacentral:lncRNA from 1 species
AUGUCUGUGGAUCACAAUAAACUGUGGAAAAUUCUGAAAGAGAUGGGAAUAUCAGACCACCUGACCUGCCUCUUAAGAAAUCUGUAUGCAGGUCAGGAAGCAACAGUUAGAACUGGACAUGGAACAACAGACUGGCUCCAAAUAGGAAAAGGAAUACGUCAAGGCUGUAUAUUGUCACCCUGCUUAUUUAACUUAUACGCAGAGUACAUCAUGAGAAAUGCUGAGCUGGAAGAAACACAAGCUGGAAUCAAGAUUGCCGGGAGAAAUAUCAAUAACCUCAGAUAUGCAGAUGACACCACCCUUAUGGCAGAAAGUGAAGAGGAACUAAAAAGCCUCUUGAUGAAAGUGAAAGAGGAGAGUGACAAAGUUGGCUUAAAGCUCAACAUUCAGAAAACGAAGAUCAUGGCAUCCGGUCCCAUCACUUCAUGGGAAAUAGAUGGGGAAACAGUGGAAACAGUGUCAGACUUUAUUUUUCUGGGCUCCAAAAUCACUGCAGAUGGUGACUGCAGCCAUGAAAUUAAAAGACACUUACUCCUUGGAAGAAAAGUUAUGACCAACCUAAAUAGCAUAUUCAAAAGCAGAGACAUUACUUUGCCGACUAAGGUCUGUCUAGUCAAGGCUAUGGUUUUUCCCGUGGUAAUGUAUGGAUGUGAGAGUUGGACUGUGAAGAAGGCUGAGUGCCGAAGAAUUGAUGCUUUUGAACUGUGGUGUUGGAGAAGACUCUUGAGAGUCCCUUGGACUGCAAGGAUAUCCAACCAGUUCAUUCUGAAGGAGAUCAAGCCUGGGGUUUCUUUGGAAGGAAUGAUGCUAAAGCUGAAACUCCAGUACUUUGGCCACCUCAUGCGAAGAGUUGACUCAUUGGAAAAGACUCUGAUUCUGGGAGGGAUUGGGGGCAGGAGGAGAAGGGGGCGACCCAGGAUGAGAUGGCUGGAUGGCAUCACAGACUCGAUGGACAUGAGUCUGAGUGAACUCUGGGAGAUGCUGAUGAACAGGGAGGCCUGGUGUGCUGCGACUCAUGGGGUCGCAAAGAGUCGGACACAGCUGAACGAUUGA